CUGAAGUGUUCUCAGGAAGGUUCACCAGGUGGGAGAGAAGCUUCUCCUCAGGCCUAUCGUUUUCUCUAAUGGCUUAUAGCUGGUUGGAAA